UGGGGUUUGUUUGUUGAGACACAGUCUUGAUCUGUCACCCAGGUCUGAAUCCAGAGCCUGUUUUUAACUAAUAUGCCCAUGAUUUUUUUUUUUUUUUUUUUUUUUUUUUUGAGAUGGGGUCUCACUCUGUCACCCAGGCUGGAGUGCAGUGGCACAAUCUCGGCUCACUGCAAGCUCCGCCUCCUGGGUUCACACCAUUCUCCUGCCUCAGCCUCACAAGUAGCUGGGACUACAGGUGCCCGCCACCAUGCCCGGCUAAUUUUUUUUUUGUAUUUUUAGUAGAGGCGGUGUUUCACCAUGUUAGCCAGGAUGGUCUCGAUCUCCUGACCUUGUGAUCUGCCCGCCUCGGCCUCCCAAAGUGCUGAGAUUACAGGCGUGAGCCACCGUGCCCAGACAAUUUUCAAGAGUUUCUGUGCCUGGUACCUGAUGACAGCAAAUAAAAGGCUAUGAAGCCACAUGCCCUCUGCAGCUGGGUUGGGGAAGAACGUCCAGGAGCCACAGUGUAUGUAGACAACCACCUCAGGAGACGAAGCAGACAAUCAAGCAGAGAAAAGAGAUGAAAGAUGUUGGGAAUGAGAGAUGGACAAAAAGGGCUAAAGGAACUGGCUGAUCUCAGGGAAAUCAAUGAAAUGCCACGGAAAGCUUUUGAUCAGCACAGGUCCAAGGCCCCUGGGUUCUAUGGCUUCUGCUGUUAGUCUUGCAUUUAUACUGUUCAAUUGAUAAGAAAAAUAAUGAGUUGAUGCAUCAGAAUCAAUACCAACUUUGGAUAGUGCCCAGGAACCAUUGUAGAAUAUUAGAUGCUCAUCCACUAAAGGGGCAUAACAAUAGCACGUAACCUCAUAGAGUUAUGUACAGUGAGAAUUCAAUGAGAUCACUUGAGUACAGUGUUUAGCAUAAUGCAGGACACACAGGAGUCAGACAAAUGUGAGCUGCUAUGAUCAUUAAUUAUAUAAUUAUUACUAUACCUAUGUUCACUAAGUAACCACUGUGGCAUCUUGUUUGUUUGUGAAAGACAUUGAGGUCAAAUGUCUCUAUGGACUGUGGCUUUUUCUCUCCAGAAGAAGCUUUUGUUAAGGGUGUUUCC
rnacentral:lncRNA from 10 species